GUUUGAACCAAAGCUUAUGCUUUGUUCUCACAUUGCUCCACACAAUCAUCAGGUGAGAUCAUGGAGUCCAGUGAAGGAAAGCAUUUACCCAGUAGAUCAGUCCCACUUCUCUGCAGAGGGCCCCACCUGAUAGCUUUCUGUUACUGACUGUAGUGAGUUGGGCAGAGAAUGGUUGCUUCUUCUUAAGAGCUAUGUUCUCACAAGACCAAAGUUACCUGCAAGCUCAAUUCCAGAAGAAAUACACUGGCCGCUCGUCCCUCCUUGUGUCACUCCACUGUCUCCAGGGUGAUGGCAGCAGCACUGAAGGUGGACUCAUCCAUCUAGGGGAAAACAAAGCUUCCUUCAGAUCCUCUUUUGUUUACUCGAGUCAGCUGUGCUGAGUAUCGAUUCAAUCAGCUAUUUCCUGAACCACAAAAGCAGCUGUGCGCCAUCACGGCCCAUCUACAGGGACUGAACCCUUGCCAGCUAGAAAAUGCAGAAGAGAAAAAAGCAACCCCAAGAAAUCUGCAAUGUGCUGAAGCUUGGAGCUCUCAGAAUUUCUUAGGUGAUGUAUAGGAAAGAUGAAGCUUCUGGUCACUUUCCUGCUGUGGAAGAAGUCAGCAGCUGUGAGCAAGAAGGAGCAACUGGGAAGCAGAUAAUUGUAUAUGACCAUGAAAAAUAGCAGUUGAACACAGUGGUUUCCAGAGGAGGGUAUGAACAGCCCAGGAGCAUGUUUUGAAAGGAUGUGGCUAUUUGGAGUAACAUGAUAGGUUCUGAAGGAAACACAGCUUUGCUUUUUGGAAUAGAUGUGAAAACAACAGCUCAGGCUGUAACAAUUUUGACUGGUACAGCUAAUCACAUAGGCCUAUGAAUUUCUCCAGAUCUUCAGCUUGACUUAGACACUAUGGAAAGAACAUUAAGGAAAAGCUGGAGAAUGAAACACUCUCCAAAGAAUGGUCAGGUGUCUAGAUUGAAGGGCUUGCCAAGGUAGGAGAUCUGGGUGUGGGGCAACAGAGGUGUGCUCCAGCUGGUGGUGGUUCACAAGGGUGCAUGCCAAGUCUAACCUGCAAGCGUACUGUCAAGGAGGUUGGAACCAUCAGUGCAAAUCUACUGCCUGGGGGAAAAGAAGUGGAAGAUCUUAGAAAACAGAAUAUGCUGCAAAAGGGAAAAAAACAGCACCUAGGAGACUAGAACCAACCCAUCUGUGAUUGCUUCUGGAGGAAUCACUCAAGGAAACCUGUGUUCAUUACUGAUGCUUUACAGUCUGUGUGCAAGUCACCCUCCCUCCAUCACGUUGGUUUUCUAUGCUGGAACUUCCAUGUUGAUAGACUUCUCACUAGGAUCCUGAAGACAACUAAUGUUGGUGACAAACUUCAUGAUCUGCAGAAGAACAUCUCUGGGGAACAAAAUUAUAUCACCAGGAUUUAUGACGAAAAUCUCAGUAGGCAGAGCACAUUGCAGGACACAACCCUCAAAACAUCCCCAUCAAGCCUCCUUUGCUCCAAACAUCUCUGCUUAUUUAUUGCUGUAGAAGCAAUAAAAGACUUUUAAAACACUGCAUGGACAAUAAAUAAAGCCAGUCUUCAAAGUACAGACCAACAGAUCAGCUGGAAGCACUCAAAAAAUAUCACCAUGCUUUUAAGUUAUUGUCUUUCCUGUUUAAAAUGUAUGUCUGGUUCUUUACCUAAAACACUAAGACAAGGGGGAAGAGAUAUUAAAACCCUUCCAGACAUUAAAGUAUUAGAACACAGUGUAGUUUUAUUAGGGCAGAAAUGCACAAUGAGGAGAGACUAUCCUUGCAGUAUCCUUUCACAAAUUAACUGGCAGGCCUGAAAGCCAUUUCCUUCCGAAAGCCUGGACUGAUGUUACAUCUGAUCUCGUGAAAAUAGCCAUAAAGUCUGACUUACCAAGAUGA